CCUUUCGACCGAGAUGAAGAGACGCCCAUCUAACACAUGGGCGUAUUGACAGUAUCGAGGGAAGCAGCCCCGGCUAACUCUGUGC
rnacentral:rRNA from 1 species